AGCGAACGCUGGCGGCAGGCUUAACACAUGCAAGUCGAACGGGCACUUUCGGGUGUCAGUGGCAGACGGGUGAGUAACACGUGGGAACGUGCCCUUCGGUUCGGAAUAACUCAGGGAAACUUGAGCUAAUACCGGAUACGCCCUCGGGGAAAGAUUCAUUGCCGAAGGAUCGGCCCGCGUCUGAUUAGCUAGUUGGCGAGGUAAUGGCUCACCAAGGCGACGAUCAGUAGCUGGCUGAGAGGAUGAUCAGCCACACUGGGACUGAGACACGGCCCAGACUCCUACGGGAGGCAGCAGUGGGGAAUAUUGGGACAAUGGGCGAAAGCCUGAUCCAGCCAUGCCGCGUGAUUGAUGAAGGCCCUAGGGUUGUAAAGCUCUUUCGGCGGGGACGAUAAUGGACGGUACCCGCAGAAGAAGCCCCGGCUAACUUCGUGCCCAGCAGCCGCUGUAAC
rnacentral:rRNA from 1 species